rnacentral:rRNA from 1 species
AGCAGCCGCGGUAAUUCCAGCUCCAAUAGCGUAUAUUAAAGUUGUUGUGGUUAAAAAGCUCGUAGUUGAACCUUGGGCCUGGCUGGCCGGUCCGCCUCACCGCGUGUACUGGUCCGGCCGGGCCUUUCCCUCUGUGGAACCCCAUGCCCUUCACUGGGUGUGGCGGGGAAACAGGACUUUUACUGUGAAAAAAUUAGAGUGUUUAAAGCAGGCUAACGCUUGAAUACAUUAGCAUGGAAUAAUGAAAUAGGACGACGAUCCUAUUUUGUUGGUUUCUAGGAUUGACGUAAUGAUUAAUAGGGAUAGUUGGGGGCAUUAGUAUUCAAUUGUCAGAGGUGAAAUUCUUGGAUUUAUUGAAGACUGACUACUGCGAAAGCAUUUGCCAAGGAUGUUUUCAUUAAUCAAGAACGAAAGUUAGGGGAUCGAAGACGAUCAGAUACCGUCGUAGUCUUAACCAUAAACUAUGCCGACUAGGGAUCGGAUGAUGUUAAUUUUAUAAUGACUCA